CGCUGGGCGGCGUGCUUAACACAUGCAAGUCGAACGGAGUUUAGAUGAAACCUAGUGAUUCUAAACUUAGUGGCGGACGGGUGAGUAACGCGUGGGUAACCUGCCAUAUACAGGGGGAUAACACUUAGAAAUAGGUGCUAAUACCGCAUAAGCGCACAGGACUGCAUGGUCUGGUGUGAAAAACUCCGGUGGUAUAUGAUGGACCCGCGUCUGAUUAGCUAGUUGGUGAGGUAACGGCCCACCAAGGCGACGAUCAGUAGCCGGCCUGAGAGGGUGAACGGCCACAUUGGGACUGAGACACGGCCCAAACUCCUACGGGAGGCAGCAGUGGGGAAUAUUGCACAAUGGGGGAAACCCUGAUGCAGCGACGCCGCGUGAGUGAAGAAGUAUUUCGGUAUGUAAAGCUCUAUCAGCAGGAAAGAAAAUGACGGUACCUGACUAAGAAGCCCCGGCUAACUACGUGCCAGCCGCCGC
rnacentral:rRNA from 1 species